rnacentral:rRNA from 1 species
GAUGAACGCUGGCGGCGUGCCUAAUACAUGAAAGUCGAGCGAACAGACGAGGAGCUUGCUCCUCUGACUUUAGCGGCGGACGGGUGAGUAACCCGUGGAUAACCUCCCUUUAAGACUGGGAUAACUUCGGGAAACCGGAGCUAAUACCGGAUAAUAUUUUAAACCGCAUGGUUCAAUAGGAAAAGACGGUUUUGCUGUCACUUAUAGAUGGAUCCGCGCCGCAUUAGCUAGUUGGUAAGGUAACGGCUUACCAAGGCGACGAUGCGUAGCCGACCUGAGAGGGUGAUCGGCCACACUGGAACUGAGACACGGUCCAGACUCCUACGGGAGGCAGCAGUAGGGAAUCUUCCGCAAUGGGCGAAAGCCUGACGGAGCAACGCCGCGUGAGUGAUGAAGGUCUUCGGAUCGUAAAACCCUGUUAUUAGGGAAGAACAAAUGUGUAAGUAACUAUGCACGUCUUGACGGUACCUAAUCAGAAAGCCACGGCUAACUACGUG